AACGCGAAGAACCUUACCUACUCUUGACAUCCCUGGAAUCUGACUGAGAAGUCGGAGUGCCGAAAGGAACCAGGAGACAGGUGCUGCAUGGCUGUCGUCAGCUCGUGUUGUGAGAUGUUGGGUUAAGUCCCGUAACGAGCGCAACCCUUGUCCUUAGUUGCCAACGCGUCAUGGCGGGCACUCUAAGGAGACUGCUGGUGAGGAACCGGAGGAAGGUGGGGACGACGUCAAGUCAUCAUGGCCUUUAUGAGUAGGGCAACACACGUGCUACAAUGGGGUGUACAGAGGGUAGCCAACCCGCGAGGGGGAGCCAAUCCUUUAAAGCAUCUCGUAGUCCGGAUUGAAGUCUGCAACUCGACUUCAUGAAGUCGGAAUCGCUAGUAAUCGCGAAUCAGAACGUCGCGGUGAAUACGUUCCCGGGCUUGUACACACCGAUACUC
rnacentral:rRNA from 1 species